CGCAGCCGCGGUAAUUCCAGCUCCAAUAGCGUAUAUUAAAGUUGUUGCAGUUAAAAAGCUCGUAGUUGAAUUUCGGGACCAAUUUGUCGGUCGUGCCUCGGUACGUACUGGUAUUAUUGGUUUCUCCCUUCUGAAGAACCUCGAUGUCAUUAAUUUGGUGUCGUGGGGAAUCAGGACUGUUACUUUGAAAAAAUUAGAGUGUUUAAAGCAGGCAUACGCUUGAAUACAUUAGCAUGGAAUAAUGAAAUAGGACGUUUGAUUCUAUUUUGUUGGUUUCUAGGAUCGACGUAAUGAUUAAUAGGGAUAGUUGGGGGCAUUAGUAUUCAAUUGUCAGAGGUGAAAUUCUUGGAUUUAUUGAAGACUAACUACUGCGAAAGCAUUUGCCAAGGAUGUUUUCAUUAAUCAAGAACGAAAGUUAGGGGAUCGAAGACGAUCAGAUACCGUCGUAGUCUUAACCAUAAACUAUGCCGACUAGGGAUCGGAUGAUGUUAAUUUUUUAAUGACUCAUUCGGCGCCUUGC
rnacentral:rRNA from 1 species